rnacentral:rRNA from 1 species
UACGUAGGGGGCAAGCGUUGUCCGGAUUUAUUGGGCGUACAGCGCGUGUAGGCGGCUUGGCAAGUCCGCUGUGAAAACUCGAGGCUCAACCUCGAGAUGUCGGUGGAAACUGCCUGGCUAGAGUCCGGAAGAGGAGUGUGGAAUUCCUGGUGUAGCGGUGAAAUGCGCAGAUAUCAGGAAGAACACCUAUGGCGAAGGCAGCACUCUGGGACGGUACUGACGCUGAGACGCGAAAGCGUGGGGAGCGAACAGG